GAAAUGCGAUAAGUAGUGUGAAUUGCAGAAUUCAGUGAAUCAUCGAAUCUUUGAACGCAUAUUGCGCCCCUCGGCAUUCCGUGGGGCAUGCCUGUUCGAGCGUCAUCUACACCCUCAAGCUCUGCUUGGUGUUGGGCGUCUGUCCCGCCUCCGCGCGCGGACUCGCCCCAAAUGCAUUGGCAGCGGUUCCUUGCCCCCCUCUUUGCGCAGCACAUUGCCAUUCGAGGCGGCGGCGGCCCGCGUCCAACAAGCUCAACCCCCCCGUCUUUGACCUCGGAUCAGGUAGGGAUACCCGCUGAACUUAAGC
rnacentral:misc_RNA from 1 species